rnacentral:rRNA from 1 species
AUUGAACGCUGGCGGCAGGCCUAACACAUGCAAGUCGAACGAGUGGCGGACGGGCGAGUAAUGUCUGGGAAACUGCCUGAUGGAGGGGGAUAACUUAUGGAAAAGGUAGCUAAUACCGCAUACCAUCAGAUGGGCCCAGAUGGGAUUAGCUUGUUGGUGGGGUAACGGCUUACCAAGGCGACGAUCCAUAGCUGGUCUGAGAGGAUGACCAGCCACACUGGAACUGAGACACGGUUCAGAUUCUGACGGGAGGCAGCAGUGGGGAAUAUUGCACAAUGGGCGCAAGCCUGAUGCAGCCAUGCCGCGUGUAUGAAGAAGGCCUUCGGGUUGUAAAGUACUUUCAGCGGGGAGGCGUUACCCGCAGAAGAAGCACCGGCUAACUCCGUGCCAGCAGCCGCGGUAAUUC